UCCUUAAGCUCUCACUGCGUGUCCUUUCUGCAAAAGCAGUUGAGGCAUGGGAGGGUGAGGAGACUGAAGGCUUCCUGAUGCUGUAAAGAGAGGUGGAGAAUGAAUGCUGCAGUUUCAACAUUGGCAUUAGUGGCACUGCCACCAUUGUGAUUCUGUUUGAUUAUUGAUGGUGAGUUGCACUAACAGUGUAGAAGUGGGUGUAGUUACAGUAUGACUGCAUGGCUUCAAUUAGUAGAAUUGCUUUUGCCUAGCAGCAAAGAUAGCUAACCAUUAGUAUCUACAGGUGUGGCACAUUCUGAUGUGUUUGGACUGCUGCCAGUGCUUGCAAGACUGGGAUCAGAACCAUUGGCACCAGAUCCCCAGCGAGACCAUUAAACGUGGAUAGCAGCAGCCUCCAUGAGAGAGCCCUGGUCACCAGAGUGGUGCUGCCAGGAUCAAGUUGCAAGCUGAGAAGCUGGCACAUCCUCACGCUCUAUCACUUUUAUCAAAACUGCAACAAAAUCCACUAAGACUGUGGGCUCUUCCUGCAAUGAUGCAGUGGGUCCGAACUCAGAAGCCAGGAGAAAGUGGUGUGAAUAUUAUCACUGCAGAUUUUGUAGAACUCGGUGACUUUAUCAGCACUGUUAUAAAGCUCAACGAUACCCUGGAUGAAGGUGAAGAUGACACUACUUGAUAGUACUGCAGUAUGUUUGUUGCGCUACUUACA